CAUCUGGUUAUAAAAAAGUUCGGACUGGCAUAUUGAGACGGAGGACAAUCUGCAGGAAAAAAGCAUGUGGUGUGGGCUACAGAUGGAAAAAAGGAAAAUGCCGCUUCUACAAAUGCCCAUCUGGUUAUAAAAAAGUUCGGACUGGCAUAUGGAGACGGAGGACAAUCUGCAGGAAAAAAGCAUGUGGUGUGGGCUACAGACGAAAGAAAGGAAAAUGCCGCUUCUACAAAUGCCCAUCUGGUUAUAAAAAAGUUCGGACUGGCAUAUGGAGACGGAGGACAAUCUGCAGGAAAAAAGCAUGUGGUGUGGGCUACAGAUGGAAAAAAGGAAAAUGCCGCUGUAAGUUGUGUACUAACCAAGAAAUAAAGCACUUC